CCUACGGGUGGCUGCAGUGAGGAAUAUUGGUCAAUGGCCGAGAGGCUGAACCAGCCAAGUCGCGUGAGGGAAGACGGCCCUACGGGUUGUAAACCUCUUUUGUCGGGGAGCAAAGCGAACCACGUGUGGUUCAUUGAGCGUACCCUCAGAAAAAGCAUCGGCUAACUCCGUGCCAGCAGCCGCGGUAAUACGGGGGAGGUGAGCGUUAUCCGGAUUUCUUGGGUUUAAAGGGUGCGCAGGCGGAGGUGCAAGUCAGCGGUCAAAUUGCGGGGCUCAACCCCGUACUGCCGUUGAAACUGCAGCCCUUGAGUGCGCGAGAAGUAGGCGGAAUGCGUGGUGUAGCGGUGAAAUGCAUAGAUAUCACGCAGAACUCCGAUUGCGAAGGCAGCAUACCGGCGCGCAACUGACGCUCAUGCACGAAAGCGUGGGUAUCGAACAGGAUUAGAUACCCGUGUAGUC
rnacentral:rRNA from 1 species